rnacentral:rRNA from 1 species
UUUUAUGGAGAGUUUGAUCCUGGCUCAGGAUGAACGCUGGCGGCGUGCCUAAUACAUGCAAGUCGAGCGAACAGACGAGGAGCUUGCUCCUCUGACGUUAGCGGCGGACGGGUGAGUAACACGUGGAUAACCUACCUAUAAGACUGGGAUAACUUCGGGAAACCGGAGCUAAUACCGGAUAAUAUAUUGAACCGCAUGGUUCAAUAGUGAAAGACGGUUUUGCUGUCACUUAUAGAUGGAUCCGCGCCGCAUUAGCUAGUUGGUAAGGUAACGGCUUACCAAGGCAACGAUGCGUAGCCGACCUGAGAGGGUGAUCGGCCACACUGGAACUGAGACACGGUCCAGACUCCUACGGGAGGCAGCAGUAGGGAAUCUUCCGCAAUGGGCGAAAGCCUGACGGAGCAACGCCGCGUGAGUGAUGAAGGUCUUCGGAUCG